rnacentral:lncRNA from 1 species
UGCAGGACUAGGUACCAUGGCCCUUUGGCAGGUUGACGACAGAACAGACACCAGUUUGCUGGGUUGUUCAACCAUUAAAUUAAGCAUUUUACAUGUUGUUGGGGUAAUUUACACCUACUAGCCUAGUUGUUAUUAUUAAUUAUUGAACUCAGUCCUCAUUCACAGAAAUCAUUUCAUUGUUUUCCCUUUUCCAAACAGGCGAACUCUAUAGGCCAAGUAAUUAUUGCAGGGGAAACUACCAACAAGAAAUGGAACAGAUCAUGCCAGUGCUACAUUCAUAACUCUACAUAUAACGUUCGGAACUAGUCCAGGUGGAAUACCUUACUUAACAGACGAGAGAUAUUCUCCAUUUCCUUCGUUGUAUGUCGCAAUACAGCAAACCCAAAAUGAGUACAAUGGUUACCGCUGGCACCGGAGAUGCCAUAGCAACUUGAUCUUUAAUUUAUGAUGCAUCCCAUCCCUAUAUUAGACAUCUCUUCAAUGCAUGAUCAAUAUCUCAGUUUCUGCAUCGAUCAAUGCAUAUGACUUGUUCAUUAUUACAGACUAUAGCAAACCAGGGCAAGGUAUCUCAAAGACACAGUUUUGAGGCAUGAGGAGAAUAAAAAGUGUUUCUAGAAACCACAACUAAAAUGCAAGCCUAUUGGUAAAUCGUCAUCUGUAUCUUGCAAACACCUCCAUCGUGACUGCCUCAAUGGUAUUGCAUCCAAUCUUCAUCAAAGGUUGAACCUCCUCCGUCUGUAACAUGGACUAGAACCUGGUCCAGUAAGUUCCCCUAAAUAAAAGCUGCAAGUAAGAUCGUACUAAUACUUUAUCAAAAAUAAUAUCAUUUCAGGUCAACCAAAUUGCCCAACAAAUGGCACUUGCACCCACAAGAAUCAUGAUAAAAGCUAAAUCAGGUGAACAACAGUAUAAAGUGAUAAGCACCACACCCAUCGUCCAGUAGCUGUCACUAAUGACUGGUUAAAACAUAUAGUCAAUCUCUAGUCUCAUUUUGUAGUAAAGUGUCACGAGAUUAAAAAUGAAUACCGUUACAUUUUUGUGUCACAAGUGAGGUGACCCGCCUCAUACUGUGCAAGAGGUCUCUAUUAAUCAAAAUUAACAGAGGUAGUUUAGAAUGCCGUUGUCUCUGUAAAACAAAAUAAAACAAUUUAAAAAGUCCACUGCCAUGGAACUCCCUCGAGCCUGCUACCGAGCCCAUCGCACAACGAGGCUCUCCCAGCCACCCUCGGAGACCUGCCACCGUCAUCGAAUCCCUGCCUUGAGCCCGGCAUGGACGUCGUGCUGUUGAGCCUUCAUGGAUGCUAGUGCAAAGGUUGUUGGCUACGAAUCGCUGCGUGAAUGUUGUUAGUGAGUCAUUGGCAAGGUCAUUGGAUCCCCUCAUAGAUCAGGAGGUCAUUGGCAAGGUGGAGUCAUUGCCAAGGAGUAGUCCCAUGUGGAACCAGAGAUUCUGCCCAGUGAAUGCAACCCAUACCCACGAGUAGAUCGCCCACACCCAGUGGCGCUAGCGCACGGACGAACUACUAGGGACUUCAUCAUUCCAAAAGGAGGUGCAAGAGAAUGGAUUGGAAUAGUUUCUUAAUAUGUGUGUCGAGUAAAACUUUUCAAGAGCAA